AGCAGCCGCGGUAAUUCCAGCUCCAAUAGCGUAUAUUAAAGUUGUUGCAGUUAAAAAGCUCGUAGUUGAAUUUCGGGAUCAAUAUGUUGGUCGUGCCUCGGUACGUACUAGCUUAUUGGUUUCUCCUUUCUGAAGAACCAUGAUGUCAUUUAUUUGGUGUCGUGGGGAAUCAGGACUGUUACUUUGAAAAAAUUAGAGUGUUUAAAGCAGGCUCACGCUUGAAUACAUUAGCAUGGAAUAAUGAAAUAGGACGUUUGAUUCUAUUUUGUUGGUUUCUAGGAUCGACGUAAUGAUUAAUAGGGAUAGUUGGGGGCAUUAGUAUUCAAUUGUCAGAGGUGAAAUUCUUGGAUUUAUUGAAGACUAACUACUGCGAAAGCAUUUGCCAAGGAUGUUUUCAUUAAUCAAGAACGAAAGUUAGGGGAUCGAAGACGAUCAGAUACCGUCGUAGUCUUAACCAUAAACUGUGCCGACUAGGGAUCGGAUGAUGUUAAUUUUUAAUGACUCAUUCGGCGCCUUAAC
rnacentral:rRNA from 1 species